rnacentral:rRNA from 1 species
CCUACGGGAGGCAGCAGUGGGGCAUAUUGCACAAGGGGGGGAACCCUGAUGCAGCGACGCCGCGUGGGUGAGGAAGUACUUCGGUAUGUAGAGCCCUAUCAGCAGGGAAGAACAUGACGUGACCUGACUAAGAAGCCCCGGCUAACUACGUGCCAGCAGCCGCGGUAAUAAGUAGGGGGCAAGUGUUAUCCUGAUUUACUGGGGUGAAAGGGAGCGUAGACGGCGUGCCAAGUCUGAUGUGAAAGGCCGGGGCUCAACCCCGGGACUGCAUUUGAAACUGGCAUGCUGGAGUGCCGGAGGGGCAAGCGGAAUUCCUAGUGUAGCGGUGACAUGCGUAGAUAUUAGGAGGAACACCGGUGGCGAAGGCGGCUUGCUGGACGGUAACUGACGUUGAGGCUCGAAAGCGUGGGGAGCAAACAGGAUUAGAUACCCGAGUAGUC